UACGUAGGAGGCAAGCGUUGUCCGGAGUUACUGGGCGUAAAGCGCACGCAGGCGGUCUGCUAAGUUUGGAGUGACAGUUGGUGGCUUAACUGCCAAAGUGCUUCGAAACUGACAGACUUGAGGGCUUCAGAGGGACACGGAAUCCGGGUGGAGUGGUGAAAUGCGUAGAGAUCCGGAGGAACACCAAAGGCGAAGGCAGUGUCCUGGGGAGUACCUGACGCUCAGGUGCGGAAAGCCAGGGGAGCGAACGGG
rnacentral:rRNA from 1 species